rnacentral:lncRNA from 1 species
GAUUAAGGCUUCAUCAAGAUUCUCCAUGUGAGAACCAACAAUCAAUUAGCGAAUAUCUUCAUUAAAGCUCUGUUUUCGCCUCAGUUAUAUUCGUUGGUGGGCAAUAUGGCUUUAAAGUCUAUAUAUUUUCCAUCUUGAAGGGGAAUAUUAGUGUAGAUAACCGUAAAGUGAAAUGUUAAUUUAAGUCUAGUUUAGUAUUCAUGUAAACCAGUGAUGAGCUUCACUAUAUAAGCUAACAGCGACUUCAUGCAAGAGACAUUUCAUGAUACUUAAAGGAAGCAUCAGCGGUGGUGACUGAAGAUCGAGAGGUUGCUCCGGUGGUGAAGAGUUGGUGAGUAGCUUUGGGGAAGAUGCUUCUUCGGUCCAAUCUGAUAAAGACACGUAUUUGAGCUAGAAUUCUCAAAAUAUGUUUGUAAUUACGUGUCAUAUUUGUAAACUUUGGGUUUGAUUGGGUCUUGUACCUUUAACCAGUUUGAUUUAAGGGAAAUUGCAUUCACUAUACACAACAAAAAUCAAAAUUCAUUAAUUAACUAAAAAACCUCCCUUUCUCCUACUUUAUCUUUCUAUCUCUCUCUAUUCUCUCUCUAAAAAAUCUAAUUUCCCUUAUUUUUUUGGUUAUUUAGCAAAUAAACCCUUGAUUUAAUAUAAAUGUUGAUUAAAAAACACAGAGUGUCAUAAUGCUUGAUUUGAAACAAUUUUAAAACUAAAAAUAUUAAAAAAGUAUAUAAUUUGUUAAGACGAGAAAAUCCAAAUUGAGAAUUACUAAACAAAACGAGUUGGAAACUAUAAUACAAGACAGUAAAAGGUUUGAAAACCGUUAUCGAAAUAGACAAAUACAUAGAAUUGAGAUUUGUUGUCUUUAUUAACUUAAUAAAACGCUUGUGGACGAGAUUUUUCUUAACUUAAUAAAUCGCUUGUGGGCGAGAUGGUUUUUGUAUGAUUUUU